AUUGAACGCUGGCGGCAUGCCUUACACAUGCAAGUCGAACGGCAGCGCGGACUUCGGUCUGGCGGCGAGUGGCGAACGGGUGAGUAAUACAUCGGAACGUACCCUGUUGUGGGGGAUAACUAGUCGAAAGAUUAGCUAAUACCGCAUACGACCUGAGGGUGAAAGUGGGGGACCGCAAGGCCUCACGCUGCAGGAGCGGCCGAUGUCUGAUUAGCUAGUUGGUGGGGUAAAGGCCCACCAAGGCGACGAUCAGUAGCUGGUCUGAGAAGACGAUCAGCCACACUGGGCCUGGGACACGGCCCAGACUCCUACGGGAGGCAGCAGUGGGGAAUUUUGGACAAUGGGGGCAACCCUGAUUCAGCAAUGCCGCGUGUGUGAAGAAGGCCUUCGGGUUGUAAAGCACUUUUGUCCGGAAAGAAAUCGCGCUGGUUAAUACCUGGCGUGGAUGACGGUACCGGAAGAAUAAGCACCGGCUAACUACGUGCCAGCAGCCGCCGUAA
rnacentral:rRNA from 1 species